GGAGAAAUGGCUGAGUGGUCGAAAGCGUCUUCCUGCUAAGAAGAUGUACUGAGUUAAUCGGUACCGAGGGUUCGAAUCCCUCUUUCUCCGCCA
rnacentral:tRNA from 1 species